rnacentral:rRNA from 1 species
UACAUAGGGUGCAAGCGUUGUCCGGAAUUAUUGGGCGUAAAGAGCUCGUAGGUGGUUCGUCACGUCGGAUGUGAAACUCUGGGGCUUAACCCCAGACCUGCAUUCGAUACGGGCGAGCUUGAGUAUGGUAGGGGAGUCUGGAAUUCCUGGUGUAGCGGUGGAAUGCGCAGAUAUCAGGAGGAACACCAAUGGCGAAGGCAGGACUCUGGGCCAUUACUGACACUGAGGAGCGAAAGCGUGGGGAGCGAACAGGAUUAGAUACCCUGGUAGUCCACGCCGUAAACGGUGGGCACUAGUUGUGGGGACCUUCCACGGUCUCUGCGACGCAGCUAACGCAUUAAGUGCCCCGCCUGGGGAGUACGAUCGCAAGAUUAAA